GACGAACGCUGGCGGCGUGCUUAACACAUGCAAGUCGAACGGAAAGGCCCUGCUUGCAGGGUACUCGAGUGGCGAACGGGUGAGUAACACGUGGGUGAUCUGCCCUGCACUUCGGGAUAAGCCUUGGAAACUGGGGCUAAUACCGGAUAGGAGCCAUUUUUAGGGUGAGGGGUGGAAAGAUUCUUCGGUGUAGGAUGAGCUCGCGGCCUAUCAGCUUGUUGGUGGGGUAAUGGCCUACCAAGGCGGCGACGGGUAGCCGGCCUGAGAGGGUGGACGGCCACAUUGGGACUGAGAUACGGCCCAGACUCCUACGGGAGGCAGCAGUGGGGAAUAUUGCACAAUGGGCGCAAGCCUGAUGCAGCGACGCCGCGUGCGGGAUGACGGCCUUCGGGUUGUAAACUCCUUUCGCUAGGGACGAAGCUUGUGUGACGGUAACUAGAUAAGAAGCACCGGCUAACUACGUG
rnacentral:rRNA from 1 species